rnacentral:lncRNA from 1 species
AAGGUCGGGGAAGGCUCUGAUAACAACUUGUCACGCCCUCGAUGCGGCUAUAUCUACCACGUGUCAAAGCACGACUUAGAGGCAUAACCGCAUUGAAAGCAAUGUCGCAAGUGAGGUAAUCUUCACACAACCCAUGUAAUACAUAAGGGAAAGAGAUACAUAGUUGGCUUACAAUCGCCACUUCACACAAUACAUGAAUAAAGCAUUACAUCAUCCAGAUACAAUCAAGGUCUGACUACGGAACCAAAAUAAAAGAAGACUACCCCAAAUGCUACACAGAUCCCCGAUCGACCCCAACUGGGCUCCACUACUGAUCAACAGGAAUGAAGCAACACAACGGACAAAAUCUUCAUCGAGCUCCUCCUUGAGCUUGGUUGCGUCAUCUGCAUGAUUCAACGGCACCUGCAAGCUGGUUUUGGAAGUAUAUGUGAGUCACGGGGACUCAGCAAUCUCACACCCUCGCGAUCAAGACUAUUUAAGCUUAUAGGAAGGGUAAAAGGUAUGAGGUGGAGCUGCAGCAAGCGACUAGCAUAUCUGGUGGCUAAACAUACGCAAAUGAGAGCGAGAAGAGAAGGCAAGGCACGGUCGAUAAAACUAUGAUCAAGAAGUGAUCCUAGAACAACCUACAUCAAGCAUUACUCCAACACCGUGUUAACUUCCCGGACUCCGCCGAGAAGAGACCAUCACGGUUACACACGCGGUUGAUGUAUUUUAAUUAAGGUCAACUUCAGGUUUUCUACAACCGGACAUUAACAAAUUCCCAUCUGCCCAUAACCGUGGGCACGGCUUUCGAAAGUUCAAAUCCCUGCAGGGGUGUCCCAACUUAGCCCAUUACCAGCUCUCACGGUCAACGAAGGAUAUACCUUCUCCCGAGGCAUUCCGAUCAGACUCGGUAUCCCGGUUCUACAAGACAACUUCGACAAGUUAAAACAAAUCCAGCAACACCGCCCGAAUGUGCCGACAAAUCCCGAUAGGAGCUGCACAUAUCUCGUUCUCAGGGCACACUCAGAUGAGCGCUCCAUACAGCUAAAACCAAACCUCGAGUUUCCCCGAGGGGGCGCUGCACAGGACUCUAGUUUGGACCAACACUCAGAAGAGCACUGGCCCGGGGGGUAAAAUAAUGAUGACCCUUGAGUCUGUAGAACCCAAGGGAAAGAAAAGGCUAGGUGGCGAAUGGUAAAACCACUGUUGGGCAUUGCUGGAGGAGUUUUAUUCAAGGCAAAAUGUCAAGGGGUUCCCAUUAUAGCCCAACCGCGUAAGGAACGCAAAAUCUGGGAACAUAACACCGAUAUGAUGGAAACUAGGGCGGAAAGAGUGGAACAAAACACCAGGCAUAAGGCCGAGCCUUCCACCCUUUCCCAAGUAUAUAGAUGCAUUAAUUAAAUAAGAGAUAUUGUGAUAUCCCACCAAGUAAACAUGUUCCAACAAGGAACAACAUCUCCAUGUUCCAACAAGGAACAAACUUCAAUCUUCACCUGCAACUAACAAUGCUAUAAGAGGGGCUCAGCAAAGCGGUAACAUAGCCAAGCAACGGUUUGCUAGGACAAGGUGGGUUAGAGGCUUGGUUCAACAAUAUGGGAGGCAUGAUAAGCAAGUGGUAGGUAUCACAGCAUAGGCAUAGCAAAAGAGCGAGCAACUAGCAAGCAAAGAUAGAAGUGAUUUCGAGGGUAUGGUCAUCUUGCCUGAAAUCCCGCAAGGAAGAAGAACGAGUCCAUGAAGAAGACACACGGACGUAGUCGAACGGGUCCUCACAAACGCGACGUUCUCGGAACCAACACGAAGAAGCAACACCGGAAAGAAGCACACAACAUAGUAAACAACCAACACAUGAACAUGGCACGGUGCGCAAACAAGUAUGAUGCAUGUCUGGUUUAAUGAGGCAUGGCAUGGCAAAGUGCACAAACAACCCUACAAAUUAAGUGGAGCUCAAUAUGCAACUCCGUUGCAUAUUGACGGAACACCACAUUUAAGUUAUUUAGUUCGAUCUCGUUUAUGUACCCAACAAUAUUAAAUGUUGUUAAACAUGGCAAGAGGGUGAAGCAAAGAAAACUACCUAUCUAGGCAAGUUUAAAUGAGGCCGGAAGCAACGAACACAAUUCUGGAAAACUCCUCAUGAGCAUAUUAUAGAUUCGGUACUGUUCUGCCCUAAACAAUAUUUUAGAGUUGUUAAACAUGCAAAGUAAAGUCACCAUGUUAAACUAGGCAUUUUUCUACCCCAUUUACAUAUAAAGUUUAUUAAAUUCGGAGUUACGGUUAUUUAGUUAUGAAUUAAAUCAUUUUAACAUGGCAUAGGAGCAAAUUUAACCAAACAGCAUUUUAAACAUUUUAAACAUAGAUGAAAGUGGCAAAUUAUUAAACUAGAAAAAAUUCUAAGCAUCUUUCGUAUAUUAAGUUUUUACAUUUGAUGCAUGGUUGGUGAGUUAUUAAAUGCAUGAAGAACAGGGACUUUUCUAUAAAACAGUCAUCUCUCGAACAAUAGACAAAUUCCCAGAUCUGAAAAAAACACAGCCGGCUGAAACUGGGCGGACUGGGUGCUCACCAUGGGCCAAGCCCAGUUAGUGAGGGAGGUUGGCGGCGGCCUCACGGGCAGGCCGGCUUAGGCGCGCAGCUGGCCUCACCAUGGGCCUCGGCCCGUUCGGUGGUGAGGUGGACCGGAUCUGGUGGACUGGAUGGUUGAAGGGGCGCGGCUGGGCCUUGCGUGAGAUGCGGCCCAGGCGUGGUCGCGGUUCACGUAGGCGAAGGAAAAGUGCGGUCAACGGGGCAGUGCUCGGCUCGUCCCUGAAGCGAGGAACGAGCAGGCAGCCGAUGCGGACGGCGGCGGCGAACAGCUCACCAGAUCCGCCUGAUCCGGGCGAGGCAAUGGCAGGGGAGGCCGAAAAUGGGCAGGACGACGGCGGGGCACCCAGAUCCGAUGGCCAUGGGGGUCCCUAUACAAGGCUGGAGAUAGAGAGAGGUUAGAGGAAGGAGGAGAAGGAGAUGGCCAGGAAAAAUAGAGCAGGGCGGCGGGAUCCGGCCUGGGAGGUUCUCCGGCGAGGCUUGCCGGCGACGAGGUCUCCAGAGACCGUAUGGCGAGCUGACGGGGGCGGGGUGAGUUGGCUCUCGGCACCUGCCCGCUGGAUCGAAGGCUCAAGGAGCUGCUCUCCUUUGGUGCUGGACCCGCACGAGAGUCGGGAGGGGAGGUGGCUGCUAGCAGAGGAUGUUGAGGAGCAGGGACGCGCGAGGAGCUGCUACUGGGCUUGGUCGGCGGUCAUGACGCGAGAAGACGAGCUCGGGUGGCUGCGGCUGAAGGGGUGGAUCGAGCAGAGGCCGGAGAGGUUGGUCGGGGAUGGAUUGGAUCGGUUUGGUGGUUGGUGGUUGGUGCAGGGGGAAUGAGAGGAUCCCGAGGUGGGAAAUGAGUGCAGCGGCGACGGCUGGGAGAAUCCUAAAAAUUAGGGUUGUCCAAAAUGGACUAGGGAUAGACUAUAUAUAUAGUAGGUGGGAUGACUUAGGGGUAUAUCGUCCCUCCGAUCGCAAUCGAACGAUCGCAAAUAAAAUGGCUAGGAAGUCCAAAUAAGAAAACGGUGACGUUUUGUAGACGUUUGGGGAUGAUCCGGAUCCAACGGUGACGACUGCCCGGGUCGGGUCCGGGACAAUUUUUGGACGCACGCGAGGAGGUUUGAUGCACUGAGCAGAGAGGGUUUCGGACCGUGCAGUCGCAUCGGACAACUCCGAAAGCGAAGAGGGGAAGGAGGAUGGACUAGGUGGGCUGUGGCGAGACUGCGAGGGGGAGAAGAGAGAGAGAGGGCCCGACAUCUGUUUCCGGAGACCGAAAAUGUCCGACGUUAGACCGACUAUAAUGCCGCUAUAGUUUAACGGUUGGGCUAUCAAACGAACUCCGAAUGCGAUGAAACUUGACAGGCGGUCUAUCUACACUAUAAUAAGACCGCACGCCAACUUUCAACCCAUUCCGAGAACAUUUUCCGGCCACUUAUAAAACACUAUUUCGGACAUGCCGCGGGCGCGUGCAAGUGUGUCUGGGCUCGGAACGGAAAACGGAGAGAACUCGGAGAACCCGGACGAAUGCAAGUUUUGAAAACAUGAUGAUGCAAUGCACAUGAUGACAUGAUAAGAUGCAACACGCAAGCAAAUGACAAGCCAACAACAUCAAAAAACAGGAAGACACCUGGCACAUCGGUCUCGGGGCGUUACACCCAGUCCUCACCGUAUUCUCCUUGAACUAAGGUCACACAGACCUCGUGCAAUCACUCGUGGUAAGUCUUCAGGCGACUUCCAAACCUUCACAAACUUGGUCACUUGGCGAUCUACUAUUCCUCUUGGAUGCUCUAGACCAUGACGCCUAACCGGCUGGAAGAAGCACAGUCUUCAAAGGUAACAAGUGUCGGAUCCACUCAGGAUCAAUCUCUUCGGUGAUGCUCAAUCACUUGGGGUUUGUAGGUGUUUGGGUUUGGGGUUUUUGGUGUUUCCUCACUUGAUGAUUUUCGCUCAAAGUCCUCGGAGGAUGGGUUGCUCUCAAAUGACAAGUGUCAGUUUCUCUCGGAGCAGCCAACCAGCUAGUGGUUGUAGGGGGCGGCUAUUUAUAGCCUAGGGAGCAGCCCGACAUGAUAAGACAUAAAUGCCCUUCAAUGAUAUGACUGUUAGGUGGAUAGAUAUUUUGGGACAGCUGGCGCAUAGCACAGCAACGGUUAGAAUUUUGAGUAGCAAAAUCCUCAGGGCUAUCAUGUUCCUCACUGUGUAGGCAAUCCGCACUGGCGAAUUCCUAACUCCUCAGUCAGGACAAAUUCCUCAGAGACCAGAAGAACUUUGUCUCUGUCACUGAAGAAAUUGACUGAACUGUAUGAGAUUUCCAAUGGCUUCACUCGAAGGGAUUGGUAGGUGUAGGAUUUGAGUUGAGCAUCACAUGGAAAUUUUUCCUUAGUAUUUUCUCGACCCCCUUUAACAGUAUGGUGUUUCCUAUGACUCAAGAAAGAGAAAAACAAAACUAUGAAAAUGAAAGUCUUCAAGCUUCAUAUUUCUCGCAUGAAUAUCAAGUCUUCACGGACACACCAAUUUCUUCACUUUCAAAGUCUUCAGAAAUACCAAAAUCUUCAGUCGAAGAUAUUCAUUUUUAGGGGUCGACUAUAGACUUAUAGACCCGUGUACACUCACACACAUAUUAGUCCCUUAACCUAUAAGUCUUCAAUACACCAAAAUCACUAAGGGGCACUAGAUGCACUUACAAUGGGGAGAUUGGUCCUUACUUCCCCACUCUCUGUGGGGUUAGACAAGGCGACCCCUUCUCCCCAUUCUUGUUCAAUAUGGUGGUGGACGCGCUUUCCGCCAUCCUGGACAAGGCUAAGGUUGCGGGCCAUAUUCGUGGGGAUCACUCCCCACCUGGCCGGUGGCUCCGGGAUCUCCCUUCUCCAGUACGCCGACGACACCAUCAUUAUGGUCGAAGGCUCAGAGGCGGACAUCUCUAAUCUUAAGUUCCUUCUCUGCUUCCAACAAAUGUCUGGCAUGAAGAUCAACUUCGAAAAAAGUGAGGUGAUGGUGAUGGGCUACUCUCCGGCAGAGUGCCUGGACAUUGCCAAUCGGCUCAAUUGCCGCCCGGGCUCCUUCCCCACGACAUACUUGGGAACGCCCAUUAGUGACUCUAGGCUUACCGUCGCUGACUUGCGGCCAACCGUGUCCAAGCUGCAAACGCGCAUUGAGCCAUGGCAGGGCAGGUGGCUGUCGAAGGCGGCUCGGACGAUUCUCAUCAAAUCCUCCCUCUCCAGCCUCUACUUGUUCCUCAUGAGCUUCUACAACCUUCACGAGACUCUACACCAUUAGAUCGCCAAAGUCUAGUCUCGCUUCUAUUGGGCAGGCGAUAACAUUAAGCAGAAAUGCCAUAUGGUUAGCUGGCCAGACAUUUGCAAGCCUCAGGAACAAGGAGGCCUCAGCAUCAUGUGCUCCAAGCGCAUGAAUAUUGCCCUCUUAUCCUGAUGGCUCUGGCGCAUUUCGCAAGGGCACGACGACCUUUGGUUAGACAUCAUCCGGAACAAGUACCUGCGUGGGCAACUCCUAGCCUUCUGUCAGAGGUCAGGCGGUUCCCAGUUCUGGCAGUCGGUCAUCCAACUGCUCCCUGUCCUCCGCAUUGGGACUUACAUCUCGGUUGGAUCGGGAGCUGCGACUUUGUUCUGGUUUCACCGGUGGGCAGGAGACUCCCCCUUUGCUGCAUGCCUCCUCGACCUCUUCUCCAUCGCCGUCGACCCUUCGAUCUCAGUAGAGAGGGCCCUUAUUGACUUAGGGCGCCUCGCAUUUCGGAGGCCAUUUGGGCCUCCGAAAUCCGCCGCCUAGCAGGAGCUGCUUGAUUGCGUCGCUCUCCACGAGCCGGUAGUGGAUGCUGGCCCGGAUUAGGUUCGGUGGCAUCUUGAGUCGUCAGGCCAAUUCUCCACCAAGUCCCUCUACCAGGCCAUUGCCCCCUCCACCCCCCCCCCCUUACGGCAGUGUGGUCCAUCCGCCUGCCAUUGAAAAUCCGGAUCUUCAUGUGGCAAUGGAUCCGCGGACGGACCCCAUCUGGGGUGGAGGUUCGCAAGCACAAUGGCCCUGGUACCGGCCUUUGCCCGCUCUGUGGUAUUCUCGAAGACUUGAAUCACAUCUUCUUCUCUUGUGUGUCCGCUCAAUUCGUGUGGAGCUGCUUUAGAGAGGUGGUGGGUGGUAAUUGGUGCCACACCAACUUCCCCGACCUAUUCGCCGAACUCCAGAACUCCCCACUGCCCUCUCGCCACAUUAGGUGGAUUGAGAUUGGGGCCCUCGCUUGGACCCUCUGUACGAUCCGCAAUAAACUUGUGAUCCAGCGCAUUCCUCUUCGACGGGCUACUAAUGCUCUCUUCAAACUGUCUGAUUCCUUGCAGUUUUGGCGGCCGCUUAGCCGCCCACAUGACCGGGACGCCAUCUCCGUCUUCAUCGCCGACCUUCGCUCGAUGGCCGUCCGACUGUCGCCGCCGCUCCCUCCGCCAUCUCCAGAGCCAGACUAGACGCCGGACAUGUUCUCCGGCUCCCUUUUUUAUGCUUUUUAUUUGGGCUUGUUGAGCUAUGCCCUCAGCAAGACCUUUGUAUUUCCUGUUGUGUGACUUGGGUAUAUGUUCUGGGCUAGUCCGUGGUGUACUCUUGACGGUUUGCUUUAUUUAUAAAGCAGGGCAAAAGCCUUUUUCGAUAACUACAACAGGUUGCCUACCCACUUAACCGCGCCACGAGCACGCAGGCAUCGUCUCGGCCGAACACACGCUCACUCCACAGCCCAGGUACAUAGAACAGGCGGCAGGCCUCGAGGUCACUCACUGACAGUUGGGGUCGUCCCGUCUCCUUUGUUUUUUUGCGGGUGGAGCCUCCUGGCAAGCGUGACAUCGUCUCGCCACCAUCGACCACACACCUACAACGCGUUUGGUUCGGGAGAAUCGCAACGGUUCCCGAUUGCAGCGCAUUCUGAAACAAUAUCCGGCGUUUGGUACACGCACACCACGUAUUCCGUAGCAGUGCUUUCCGAUACGGGGUUCACAAAAUUAAAAACGCUCACAUGCGGCUGAUUAGGAAAACAGGAGUCGGACGGCCAGACCAAACAGAUCACGUAUUGCUAAAGCAAAAAGGUAAAACGAAGCUUCCCGAUACCUUAACCGAAGAAGUAACCUGAGGGCGAACCAAAUGCGUCGCUAGAUUGAACCGUAGGUUGGGCUAGGGAGACCCAAACUCCACUCCAAAGGGGGGUUCCCCCACCUCGCCGGUGCCUGAAGGCACCCAGAGGCGAGGGGAACUGUUGGUGGCGGCUGCACGAACGGAAAACCCUAGCCACCUGAGAUUUCAGGAGAGGAGAUGCGUACAGGUUAAACUUUGCACUCUUUGAAUUGAGACAAAGUUUAUAUGAUUUCUUUUGGGAGCGGAGGGGGUAUGCUGCAAUGCAAAAAGGUGGUGAAAUAAAUUUUACAGUACCAUGUGAGAAAAUUUUACGUUCUGAGUUUUCUCUUACUCAACAAUAUCAGUCUGGCAGUUUAUAGUCGUAAACAUUCCAAAACAUAUAAACAUCAAUUAAACAUCAGUGGGCGCGCACAAAACAAAAUGUUUUGCCUAAGUUACAACACACCCUUAGAUCCCACACGACAUCAUUGUACAAUGUUGAAACAUCUAACAGGAAAGAAUGGGGGCAAGCAAUUUUGUGUCCAAACAUACAGUCUACAAUGCCUGAUACUGAAAAUAACAAGUACUACUGUAUAUCACAACCUGACACCUAAGUUGUGGUGACACACAACACACAAACCAUGAUGGUACACGCCCUAAACUGCAUUGUGGAAAGUGCUCGCUUGCUAGAAGUUCCCAUAAUCCGGUCCGGGAAAUAGAUUGGCACUAGGCUCCCGUGCAGGGAUAAUAUCAUCGUGCCAUGUCGAUGGUCCAACGGCAUGGUUAGGUGGAUUCUCAGAGUAAUGGAUCCCAUGCAUACUUUCUUGGACUUGAGUAGGAGCAAAUUGUUGUGACAGAAGGUUGUGCUGAACAGAGGUUGAUGCCUGCAUGACACUUCCGCCAUCCAUGGACAUGGGAGCUUGCAUCUGGCUAUGGAUGUUCACUUGACCUGAUCCUGGAAGUAUGAGAGUAAAAUGUGAGUCAUCUAUCAGGUUUGUUCAUGGUUCAUGCAGAUACCGAUUGCUCACUUUCAUAGGGCCAGUGUAGCAAUUCACCAGUGAAAAUUGUAGGUUGCUGCUGACCAACUGGUAGAAUACUUUCUCCUAAAAAAAGGCCAAAAUGAGCAUAAGUCACUGAAACUGCAAGGAGUCCAUGAGGAAACAGAGGAUAAAGAGAUAAGAGGGGAACAAGCAGCAACAACUAUGUACCUUGGUAAUAAUGUGUGUUAACUGUGCUCUGAUCACCAUGAAUAUACUCAUUCUGGUGAGAUGGUUCAGUGAUAUUGUUGAUCCUGUACUGCAACUGGUUUUCAUUUGCUGCAGUUCCUCAAAAAGACCAAUUUAAGCUCCAUAGUUCAGGCCAUCGCAUAGUCAGAAAUUUUAAGACAUGGAAGGGUAAGAAAACGUGUAUCUAACGUUGAAGCGCGGCAUCCGGCCCAAGAAUGAAUGCUGCAUCCAGAGUAGAAUGUGUGCUAGAGGGAACUUGUUCAGGAAGAUUGCCAUUCAUCACAUAGUCAAACGGGAGGAUGUCCAACUGACCGCGCGCACACUCUUUCAACUCAUACGCUUGAGCCUGCGAUGAGAAAAUGAUAUCUUCAACUUGUUUGACAUCCACAUAUGGUCCAAAUAUUAGAUGAUUAUGUUGAGAAUGUACCUUCUUAGCCGGAUCAAAAUUGUCCCGUGAAAUGUAAACACCAUAAAAAAUUGCUCCAACAAGAUCAUGCACGCAAUUGAAGAAGAUCACUACAUUCCCAUCUACACUGUGAUAUGCUUUGAGCUCGGGCCUGUCUGCGAGGCAGCAUUCCCUGGCAUGCUUAACCAUUCUUUCCCAAGCGUUACUGCGCUUCUUGAUCUGGAGGACCUGUAUGUCAAGAAAUCACAACGACAACAUUAUUCACCGCGAGAAAAUAGCACAACUAAUGAAAAGAAUGAGAAAAAAAAUCAUAUGGGAGAUUUUAUACCAUUUCACGGAGCUCGUCUGCAUCUUUAUUCAAAGCCUUAAGGAAGUCCUCAACUUUGAAUAUCUGAGCAUCCUUAAGCCUCCUGUGGUAAAUUCCAUCUUUGGAGAUUUCUUCCAGGCGAUAGACUUCAUCGUCCAAUCUUGGAGGGUGCCUCUUCUCAUUUGCUGAAGCAAACAAUGAUUAAAAAGGAAACUGUAAUGUGAGUCCAAUGGAAACAAAGAACAUGCUGACUAGCAACAAAAGGAAACCUGACAGAUAUACUUUUACCUUCAUUUCUACGAUCCAGCACAGUGACCGGCUCCAUGACAGCUUCCUGGACUCGAAUACCACCGAUCUUCCUGUUCGUGCAUACUCUUCCUCCGACGAUGAACUUCCUACUGGGAGUCCUGGAUGAUCCUUCUCUGAAGCAGAUUUUUCCCAAUGAUGCCUCCCCAUUGUUCAACCACGCACUGCAAUCGCCCCCCAGCACUGACCCUUGCCUGUGCCGGCCUUGCGCUAUGUGGCUGUUGAACUCCUCUUCAGUCCAACUCUCCUGACCGUCACUGCAGAAGUCGCCACGGAGAACCAGGAUCUCAACUUUCGCCUUGGAAAGCGGGCCUUCAUUGAUCAUUUUGUCACCAUCAAAGACGCCAAUCCUGAUAGCCGCAUUGCUCUCAGAUGCUAUAAUCUUGUCUGUGUAAAUUGGAGUCUUCAGGCCAUCCAGGAAACGCAGGCGAAUGUUGGCAUUCGGUUCACUCAAAGUGGCACCCUCCUGAUAUGGUUCUGAUCUGAAACAGGAACAUGAAUGACAUUGUGAUGUAGUUGUUGUUCAGUUGGCAUUUUUGAAUUUAACACCCACAUACUACUUUGUUCCUGUAGAGCAACAUCGGAUAGGUACUGCUAUGUGACAAUGCGAGAACUGAAACUAAAAAUAUAUAUAUAAUUAAUUGUAUUUUGAUUAUUGUACAUUGUAGAAUGCUGUUUAUUAAAUAUGGAUCCAUUUUCUAAUUUGCAUCGACUACAUUCUCGACCCCCGCCCCCCGCGCGCGCGUCGCCCUCUGGCGCACGGGGAAACCCUAACCACGCCGCCGGCCUCCCCUCCCCACUCCUUCCCCGCUUCGCCGCCGCCGGAGGGGACACCAACGAAGCCCGCGUGAUCCCCAAGGAAGGUGGCAGCGGGGCAUCCUCAUCGUUUCGCCAUUGCGCCACGCAGAUCUCGCGGCGGCCGGUGGUGCGCGGUGGUGGUUUGCCUGUUGCUGGCGCCUACUGCCCGUGGGGCGGCGUCCCUCACGGCGGCGGGGCUACCCCUGAACGGUGCUUGAUGGUGGCCACGUGGCGGUGUGUGGGUGGGCCGGUUAUGGGCUUCGGGUCUGCGUCCCCGUCGUGGCAGCGCUUGCCGCUGUUCUCGGCCAUGGGACGUGGUCCCGGACGGGCCUAGCGCCGGUGGUGCUGGCCAGGACGCACGCUGGCAGCGCCCUACUUCACCUCGCGUCGUCUCGCUGGCCAGUGGUGGUGGUCAUCUUCUUCGUCGGAGGUGGCCGGCCAGAGGCUUGGUGAUCGGAUCUCGAGAUCCAUCAUCUAGUCCCAGCUGCGACUUGGGGAGACAUGGUUGUAGGUGAAAACCGAGCAGACGAUAGGUGAUGGCGGCGUUCUACGCCGUUACCUUGAUGGAGGCAUCGUCGUGUAACUACUGUCGACCCACUCGUGCUGCUCCGAGGGAAACUCUAGGAUCUGGUGUUCCAGAUCGGGCGAUGGUGACACUACGGUGUUGUUUCUCUCUUGGGAGCAUCGUUUGUGGAGCAGCGCUGGAAGACAGAGGCAGGAGGUGGAGCGGUUGCACGGAGCUUCGGUGAAGAUGUCAAGUCAUGCCUGACCGACAGGUGCUACGCUUUGUCAUGCCUGGUCGGUAGGUGCUACGCACGACAGAUCUUCCAAAGACUUCAAGUUGUGUCGGCUGGUGGUACUUGGCAGCAUGGUGCUGAGGUGUAUCAGUGGCGACUGCAACGUGAUCAGCUGUUUCGCGCAGGGAGGCGGUGUCGUUGGGCUCCGUGGUGGCGUCGACGAUAGCUAGAUCGAGCAAGGUUGAUGCGUCAGUACAACUCUGAAGAUGGAGCGGUGGCAGUUGGCGACUGCGGCCUCUGAGAGCGCACCGGAACAGUGUGUGCCCCAGACCCGACAAGUGGCUAGGUUGGGGCCUCAGGUCUUAGAUAUUAGGCUUGGCUGCGAGGUCUGUAGUAUUAGACCCUGACUAUCAGCAUCCCUUCAUCAACUAGAUAGGAGUAACGACAGGUGUUGCCUAGAGCCCUAGACGGUGGCUUCAGACUUACUGUUGUAUUUUUUAUAAGGUCUUUUGUGAAUAAUUAAUAAAGUCAUUGCAUGCAUCGCCCAGAAGCAGAGAGCCCGGGGGUCUUCCUCCUUUUCAAUUUUUUUAUUAAAUAUGGAUAGCAUGCAUGGUGUAUGUUAAGGUGGGUCUUUUUCCAUGCAUGAUGGUCGGUGAGUUGGCGUAGUUGCAUGUUAAUAGAAUUAGAGUUAGUAGGGAUCAAAUAUUUAGGUAUAUAGAAUGGCAACUCAAUAAAAGGCCAGAUAAUGAAUAUUUAACAUUUCAGCAUGAAUUAAGUACGACGGAAGAAACUAUCAAGCAGGUGCAACUGCAAAUCUGUUACCUUGGGUGUUUAUCAGCGUGUCUAUUGGAAUGAAAACAUGCCAACUCCUUCUGCAAUUUUUACAUGACAAAUACACUGUGAGCAUACCCUCAAAAAAAAAAAACUGUGAGCAGCAUAUAUACUAUAUACUAGUAUCAAAUAAGGAUGAACAUGUAAAGAAGUUAAUUUAAAGAAUAUGAAUCUAACCACUUCCUGGCUCUUGCUCUCCAUCUUCUCUUCUAAAUUUCCCAAUUUGCCCUCCAGCUUCUCCUCUAAAUUUUCCAAUUUGGCCUCCAUCUUCUCCUCGAAAUUUUCCAAUUGGCUAAGACCAAAGAUAACAAAAAUAGAAAGAGAAGCACGGGUAAGCCUUUUGUUUAUCUCAAAAGUAAAUAAAAACAAAACAAGCGGAGCUUGCAUACUUUCAUUGAGGGAAGAAGUAUGGCAAGUUGAAGAAAUCAUGGAAAUACAUCAAGACACAAAAGGACACAACUAUACCUCAUAAGUUACUUGUUCACUGUUCUAAAAAAAAGUUACUUGUUCACUUUUUAUGCCCUUUUAGGUAUUGACAAGGUCUCCAAUGUACACCCUUGAUUAUUCUAAAAAUAAUGAACCGUCUUAAUAUUUAUCUCUACUUGCAAGUUUUUUUUUUUUGCGGGAAUUAUCUCUAUUUGCAAGUUAUUCCUAAGGCCUUGGAAAAUUACAUGUGCCAUGAACUUUUUUAGUUGUCAAUGCAAUAUUACAUGGGCCAUCAACUUUUUAUAAGAACAAUUGCGAGAAGGUUAUCUGUGAAGCAUGAGAACUUUCUUUAUAGAUGGUUGGACAUAUUUCAAAAAAGUAUUGUAUGUACGAAACUUUUUCAAAAAUUCACCUUUUAAGUGAUAUUUGUAUUGCUAAAGCCUGAAUGCUACCAAACGCGUGAAAAGAAGUCCAUAAUUACGGCUGCCAUAUCUUUUGAAACAAAAUUUGAACACAAGAGCAUAACAGAGAAAUGAUCCUUACCGCAUCAUAAGAGCCUGAACCUUUUGAAACCCUUCCAUCUUCCUCUGAACCUAUACAAGCACAAAAGAGACAAACGAAAUGAAUACGCAGAACAAAUCCACAGGCAAUAAUACAUAAAUCCCACUGGCAAAUUCCAGGAAAAACGAAUGCUCGUGCACACACGCAGGCGCGCGCGCUCACCAUGCGACCAAUCUGGGAGAUGCUUUCCGUCACCGUGAUCCCGUCGCUCCUGCACGCACAGAAUCGCGGGGACAGAAGAGUUAGAAAUCAAGAAACGGAGCUCGACGUGCACCCGAUGGAUAGAGAAGAAAUAUAUAUCGAGCGGGCUGUUGGGGAUCGAGCACGCACAUUCGCAGUAGAAAGAGCACGACGAGCACGGUCCGCCGCAUGAGCCGCGUCCCCGGCGACGCCGGCGAUGUCGGCGCCUGCCAGCCGGCGGCGCUGGGGUUGGCGACCCCGACGCGCAGGCGCUUCGCCUCCUCCCGGCCUGCGCCGGCUCCCGUCAGGGCCAGCUGCCUCUUGGGCGGCUCCAUGGCAUCAACGAAUCGUUCCUCUCUCUCUCUCACUCUGUGGUACCAAGUUCUUGCACGAUAGGAGCGGCGGGAGGAACAGGAAGGGGGAAAUGGGCUUCUCCUGUCGAAGAGGAAGAAAAUGGAUCGGCGCCGUUCAGCUCACGCCACCGCUGGGUUUUAUGGGCGGCCGUUGAGAUGUAGAGCGCGACGUGGAGGAUUUACGGAUAAUUGUUUCGCUCUCCACCAAGCGUGUUUCGACGGAUUUGGUAGGUGAGAGCUCGAGGGGAGACGACUGAGGAGCAAGUCAAGCACUCAAGCAGCCCCACUUCACUUCACUCGUCUUCUUGCUGCCGCGGGCGGCGGAAAGCGCGGGGAGUCUCGCUUGUUUCGUCCGUGGACGGCUGGACGCGCAUGAUUCCCUCCCUACCCGCGGCGAAGUCUGGAAGACACGUACUUACUAGAAAACCGAUCGAUGCGGCGAUGCCGCCCUCAAUUUCUCUCUCUUGACUCUUGCAAUAUUCCUCUCUCUCGCCCUUAAGUUUCUUCUUCCUUUUUUUCUCCUUUUUGAUGCAAAUUCGUGUUCCUUGGUUGUAACAUUUCUUUUAGCGGUUUUGCUAUUUUUUAGGUACAGAAUUUUUUGUUGCGUCAGUCACUUUUUCCUUUUUCCGGAGCGCAUGAGAUGGGGAGGCCGGACCUCGCCGGAGAAGAACCAACCCCAUUAUCUAUCUUAGGAGGAAACCAUAGCCUCAUUAUCUUUCUUAAGGGGAAGUCACAACCCCAUUAACUAUCUUAGUGGUGGAGGUGCAUCCGUGCAUGGGAUCGUUGGAGUUUUUCCAAUGGUUUAAAUAGCGGUGGGCCUUCAAAUCAGCUAUAGCGGAGCUAUAGCGGGCUAUAGCGAGCUAUUUGUGAAGGCGAUCAUUUAGCGGCACGGCUAAUUAAAACUAUGAGUUUUUCACAGGUGGUGCGAGGCUUAGAGGGAUGGUCGGGACGGCGGCUAGCAACGGCGGUGGGGGAGGUUGAGGGCAGGGCGGGGUGGCGAGGUGGUGCACGGUACCGCCCGUCGACCAUGGGGGUGGAGGCAAGCGGAUGGGAUGGAGUAGGCCGUGGGGAGGAGGAAAUGUCGUCCGGGAGGAAGAAGAUGGGGGAGAAGAAGAUGAACAUGCCGCAACGUGAUUGAGGCCGUUGGAUAUUGAUCGAAUGGUCAAUAAAGAAAGUGAUUGAUGGUGUGCGGUUGCCGUAAAGGAGCAGGCGCCUGCUCCAGUGAUCGCUAAUGCACGCUGCCGCCUCCUCUACUACCUCGGACGAAACGGCGGCACCUCCUCCUUGAGCGCUAGGACGGCAGCCAACAAGGUGGCAUCCCAGGAGGAGCACUUCGAGCGGCGGAAUGUGGAGCGUCGUUCGGCCUUCGUGACAUAGAACAUGGCGCCGGAUUGGGUGCACGCAAACCCGGACGUCUUGUUGGCCUGGGCUGAGGAUUGGUUCAGGACCACCGCGCAGAAGUUCGCCUGCCACCGACGCUGGAUUCAAGCGUGCAGCUCGUGUCCUUGCUGGCAAGAGCAAUGGCAGGCGACGUGGGCCGGAGUCCACACCCGACUGUCGCUGCUAGCCGGAUGUUUUUGAUUGGCAGCAUGAGGCGGAGAGGCUUCAUCGUAAGAACGCAUCGGCGGCCGAUCAGGGCUGCCGUGAUCCCUGGGAGGCCGUUCGCCGCUGGAAGGUCGACGACAACAACAACGCUGACGCUGCCGACGGAGGUGCCAGUGGCCUCAGAGGCCAUGCCCACGAGGUCAGUGCCCGGUACCUUGCGUAGUUUAAUUAAUUAAUUUUAGUUGAACUUGUUAAAUAACUGGUACACCCACGAUGCGGCUAUAUCUAUCACGUGUCGAGACACGACUUAGAGGCAUAACCGCAUGGUAGUUUAGUCGCAAGUGGGGUAAUCUUCACACAAUCCCAUGUACUAAAUAAGAAUGGCAUAAAGAGUUGGCUUACAAUCGCCACUUCACAUAAAUAACAAGUUAAACAUACAUCAUCCAGAAUACAAACAAGGUCCGACUACGGAACAAAAAUAAAAGAAGACAACCCCAAAUGCCAGAUCCCCGGUCGUCCCAACUGGGCUCCACUACUGAUCAAAUGGAAACAAAACAAAACAACGACCAAGAUCUUCAUCGAGCUCCCACUUGAGCUGGGUGCAUCACCUGCACUGGUAUCAUCGGCACCUGGAACUGCUUGGAAGUAUCCGUGAGUCACGAGGACUCAGCAAUCUCACACCCACGCGAUCAAGACUAUUUAAGCUUAUGGGUAGGAGAAGGUAGUGAGGUGGAGUUGCAGCAAGCACUAAGCAUAUAUGGUGGCUAACAUACACAAAUAAGAGCGAGAAGAGAAGCAACGCAACAGUCAAGAAGCUAGAAAUGAUCAAGAAGUGAUCCUGAAACUACUUACGUUCAAGCAUAACACAAGAACUGUGUUCACUUCCCGGACACUGCCGAAAAGAGACCAUCACGGCUACACACGCGGUUGAUGCAUUUUAAUUAAGUCAAGUGUCAAGUUCUCUACAAUCGGACAUUAACAAAUUCCCAUCUGCCACAUAACCGCGGGCACGGCUUUCGAAAGUUCAAACCCUGCAGGGGUGUCCCAACUUAGCCCAUCGCAAGGUCUCACGGUCAACGAAAGAUAUUCCUUCUCCCGGGAAGACCCGAUCAGUCUCGGAAUCCCGGUUACAAGACAUUUCGACAAUGGUAAAACAAGACCAGCAAAGACACCUGAUGUGCCGACAAUCCCGAUAGGAGUCGCACGUAUCUCGUUCGCAGGACAACACCGAAUGAGACUAGCUACGAGUAAAACCAACCCUCAAAUUUCUCCGAGGUGGCCCCGCAUGCAGCUCGGUUCGGACCAACACUUAGAGAAGCACUGGCCCGGGGGGUUAAAAUAAAGAUGACCCUCGGGUUGGCCGACCCAAGGGAAAGGUAAUAGGUUGUUAGGCAAAUGUAAACCAAGGUUGGGCCUUGCUAGAGGUGUUUUAUUCAAAGCGAACUGUCAAGGGAUUCCCAUAACACCCAACCACGUAAGGAACGCAAAAUCAAGGAACAUAACAGCGGUAUGGCGGAAACUAGGGCGACAAGAGUGGAACAAAACACCAGGCAUAAGGCCGAGCCUUCCACCCUUUACCAAGUAUAUAGAAGCAUUAAUUAAAUAAGAGAUAUUGUGAUAUCCCAACAUAUCCAUGUUCCAACAUGGAACAAACUUCAACUUCACCUGCAACUAGCAACGCUAUAAGAGGGGCUGAGCAAAAGCGGCAACUUAGCCAAACAACGGUUUGCUAGGAUGGUUAAAAAAGGUUAGAGGCUAUCAUGGCAAUUUGGGAGGCUUGAUAAACAAGUGGUAGGUAGCGCGACAUAGCGAUAGAGCGAACAACUAGCAAGCAAAGAUAAAAGUGAUUUUGAGGGUGUGGUCAUCUUGCCUGAAAUCCCGCAAGGAAGAAGAACGAGUCCAUGAAGAAGACAAACAGACGUAGUCGAACGGAUCCUCACAAAUGCGAUGUUGCCGGAAUGUAACGCCCUCGAUGCGGCUAUAUCUCCCACGUGUCGAAGCACGACUUAGAGGCAUAACCGCAUUGGAAGCAAUGUCGCAAGUGAGGUAAUCUUCACACAACCCAUGUAAUACAUAAGGGAAAGAGAUACAUAGUUGGCUUACAAUCGCCACUUCACACAAUACAUGAAUAUAAAAUUACAUUCAUCCAAAUACACUCAAGGUCCGACUACGGAACCAAAAUAAAAGAAGACUAUCCCAAAUGCUACACAGAUCCCCG